rnacentral:rRNA from 1 species
UUAUGGAGAGUUUGAUCCUGGCUCAGAAUGAACGCUGGCGGCAUGGAUUAGGCAUGCAAGUCGAACGGGAUGGCCCUCGGGUCAUCUAGUGGCGAAAGGGUGAGUAACACGUGAGCAACCUGCCCCCGAGUUCCGAAUAAGCAGUGGAAACGCUGUGUAAUGCGGGAUGUGGAGCACCGGUCACCUGACUGGUGCUGCAAAGAUUUAUCGCUCGGGGAUGGGCUCGCGUCCCAUUAGCUAGUUGGUGGGGUAAUGGCCCACCAAGGCUACGACGGGUAGGUGGACUGAGAGGUCGGUCACCCACACUGGGACUGAGACACUGCCCAGACUCCUACGGGAGGCUGCAGUCGAGAAUCUUCCGCAAUGGGCGCAAGCCUGACGGAGCAAUGCCGCGUGAGGGA